CCUACGGGGGGCUGCAGUGAGGAAUAUUGGUCAAUGGACGAGAGUCUGAACCAGCCAAGUAGCGUGAAGGAUGACUGCCCUAUGGGUUGUAAACUUCUUUUAUAUGGGAAUAAAAUGUUCCACGUGUGGGAUUUUGUAUGUACCAUAUGAAUAAGGAUCGGCUAACUCCGUUCCAGCAGCCGCGGUAAUACGGAGGUUCCGAGCGUUAUCCGGAUUUAUUGGGUUUAACGGGAGCGUAGGUGGAUUUGUAAGUCAGUUGUGAAAGUUUGCGGUUCAAACGUAAAAGUGCAGUUGAAACUGGCAGUCUUGAGUACAGUAGAGGUGGGCGGAAUGCGAGGUGUAGCGGUGAAAUGCUUAGAUAUAACGAAGAACUCCGGUUGCGAAGGCAGUUGACUGGACUGCAACUGACGCUGAGGCUCGAAAGUGUGGGUAUCAAACAGGAUUAGAUACCCUUGUAGUC
rnacentral:rRNA from 1 species